AUGGCUAACACUCAGGUUUCAAGUGGGACCCGCCAUCACUCAGUAACUGGAGGACUUUGUGUGUCCCUGUGCUGGGCACUCGAGUUCUCCACCUGGACAGAGGCGCAGGGCUGCAGCUGCAGGCAAUGCGAGAGGCCCCUUUCCCCGGCUCUGCAUCCGUGGCUUGGAGGCGGCCUCCGAACUAACCAAGGGGCUCCUCUCUCUUCAGCAGCCACCAGGGUCUGGCCAGCGAGCAGCACCGAGGACAAGGAGUUCACCGCACGCUCCUCCACCAUCUCCUCCUCCAAGGCUGAGGGCCAUCGUGGCAGCUUUCCUAGCCCAAAGGGUGGGUGCCCAUCUUCACCUGUUGUCAGGGCCCGACAGUCCCUGAGCCCGCGGCUCACACACAUCCGGACACCGUCUCACCAGUCUUUCGAACAGAGAUCCUGCAGCUGUUCAGUAAGACCAUCCCUGCCUCAGCCGGCACACGUGCUUGAGGGUCUGCUGCACUUGGUCUGAGUCACUAAAACCUCCUGGGAAACAUCCCCGAUGGUAACCUGGAGAUUUGCAAAUACGGCAUGUAUGGGGGAGAUGCUCUGGUCCUUCAGGGUGGCUGAGCGGAGCCUGGAGCUGUGGCACAGCCUCCCCCAGGCUCCUGAGCAGCCAGGGGCAGCAAGUGACGGCACAGCUGGGGGCCUGCAACAGCAGCACAGAGAGCAGCACUCGCACCUGUUGCUCUGCCCCAGCCACCUGGCCAUGGACUUCACAGCCCGCACUCAGUCUGCAGCUGCUACUGCAGACAAGAGGCCACAAGCCGCAGGAGGACUUUGUGUUCCAGGCACCCAAGAAGCAUGGCCCACAGCCCAAAGAAGGCCACGGGUAUGGAAGGCACUCUAGUGGGCAUACGCUUUCUGUCUUUGUAUGCAGUGGCCGUUUCUGUCAUGACUGUGGAUGAUUUGCCCUUUGGUGGUGUCCUGGAUACCUGGUGAAGCAUGCUGUAACAAUGCAUCUUGAUUCUGAAGCUUAGAAGUCUUCUUUCACUUUUUCGUUUUUUAGUACUGGGGAUCAAACUCAGGACCUUGUGCUUGCCAGGCAAGCAGUGCCACUGAGCUACAUCCCCGGCCCCUGAUACUUAGAACUUCUGUAUUCCAAAAUAACUGAUGUAAAAAAAUUAGGAUUCGAGAUUCUAUCCACAUCAUCACAC
rnacentral:lncRNA from 1 species